GGAAAAGUGAGUACCGGCUAGUAUCGCGAGAUCAGGAAGGUGGCCGAGUGUGUCGCCGCGGCCAUCAGGCACUUCUCCUUCCUGCCCUUGUAUGAAGAAGGAUGUGUUUGCUUCCCCUUGUGCCAUGAUUGUAAAUUUCCUGAGGCCUCCUCAGCCCUGCAGAACUGGGGUUAUAGCCAUGUGACUGAUCUUCGUCCAAGAAUAUGUAAAGAAAAAGUGUUGAGUUGGCUUUUAGGGCUAGAGCAAUGUAUCUUAGGCUCACUUAAGGAAGCUGUAGAGAUGAGCCCAAGGAGGGAAACCAGAAGAGCCCCCCAGGCUCACCAGUUGUUUGUUGGCUCCCUACAAACAUGUCAUUCAAGUGGCUAAUCUUACAACAGCACAAAUUCAUCUAACCAGAGAUACUCUAUUAUAGCAAAGAAGAAAGAUAAUUUCAUUGAGCCAUCCUGUUUUACAGCACCCAACAGAAUCCCUUCAAAGCCUCGUGGUCUGACACCCUAUGCUACGUGACUUGUGACCCAUCCAUUUGUCAUGUUCUUCGGGAAUGUGGCUAAGGGGCUAAGAUGUGACUUGAAAAGAAAGGUAGAACAAGAUCAUCUCAAAUUUAUUAUCAAGGAAUAGUUCAGAAAACGACUUCAGACCACAGAGACAGCAGAACAGAUGGUCCGGCAUGGAUAGAGCAUCAGACACUCACAGACUGUGCCAACAAGAGCCAUCGAGUCAAAACAGCCAAAGGAAGGAGGGUCAUGGAAUGGGUUCUCUCACACCAAACUGAUGCCCAGAGGCCCUCAGCAUGAAUAACAAAGGCAACCAGACCCACAAGCCAUACUGAGUGGAUACAAAACCUAUACCUAGGCUGACAUCCCAAAUGUGUGUGGCAAGUUAGAUGAUGAUGGCACAAAAGACAGAACACCUUGCUUCUGGCCAUUGUCAGCUCUUGGAAGAGAGCACACUUUUAGAGGAGCAGCUGCAAGGAGCCUGAGAACAAAACUGGAAAUGUCUGUUAUGAAAGCCUUCACAGGAAAUUCUGCAAGUGGCAACGUGGGUCCAUUCCGUGUGUGUCACUAGAGCUGGCGCAAGCCCAUGGCCAUGGUGAGGCAGCGUUUCCACUGGAACUAAUCUGAUACCUGCACCAGCUCUUGCAACUGUGCAGUGUUCCCACUGCAAACUACGGAUGGGGUAAAAGACUGCUCACCUCCUAUUUCUCAUCUAAUCUCACACACUCUGUUUGAUGAGGCUAUGGAGAAACAGGUCUUCUCAUACACUAAAGGUGGGAGUACAAACAAUUCAAGCCCUGUGCAGGACAAUUAGGCAAUACCUAUCAAAAUUAUACAUGAUUUUUCCUGCUGACCCAGCAAUUCCACUUCUGGGAAUAAUUGACAGAUAUAGGUGCAUAUGUACAAAAUGAUGGAAAGCUCUCUGGUAUAUAUUAGUAAGUGAUAAAACAAGGUGUAAAAUAGUGUAUAUAUGGCUACUACCUUUUGUUUUAAAAAUGGGGGAAAAUGGUGGAGCUUGCGGUGAGCCGAGAUCGUGCCACUGCACUCCAGCCUGGGCGACAGAGCGAGACUCCGUCUCAAAAAAAAAACAGGGUGGGGUGGGGGGGAAAUAAUAGUACAUACUCAUAUUUACCUGUAUCUAUAUAAAACACACUAUCAAGGAUUCACAAGAAACUAAUACAAAUGAUCACCUUAUAGAUGGUAUGUAUUGGGGGAUACUGAGGUGAGCAGGGUAUAAGUGGGGCAAGACUUUUCAGUGUAAACUUCUUUUAAAUUUUAUUUUGAUUUUUGAAUAAUGUAAAUUAACUGUCAAAUAAUUAAAUUAAAAAUAACCAAUUUAUUAACAAAA
rnacentral:lncRNA from 1 species